AAUAAUAAUAAUAAUAAUAAUAAUGAUCUGAGUCCUGAGACACUUCUGGGAACUUGUGGCGUUGAUGAGCUGAUGGGAAGCUUUGAACAACAUUUAAAGGACCAGUUUGUAGGAUUUAGUGGCCAAGAGAAACAUGAGAGGUCCUCUCUAGAACCACGGUUUGGUUUGUCCGUUCUGGGCUACCAUACAAACAUGGAGGUGCAACAUGGAGGUGCAACAUGGCGGCCUCUGUGGGAGAGGACCAGCUCCCUCUGUAGAUAUCAGGGCUGAUUCUAAGACGCCACUAAAUUCUACAAACUGGUCCUUUAAAAGAACCCAAGACGGUGAAAUCAGGUGAAGACAAAACCACACAGUUGGGUGUGAUGCCGCUGUCCUGCGACUGGAACCACUGAAGAAGAAAAGCAGACAAACAGUCAGUCUGAACCAUGUUGGAGUCCAGAUCAUCGUCUCACACAUCCAGACAACUGUUUGGACUACACUACCCAUGAGCCUUUGCGUUCUAGAAACAAAAAAAAAAAAACAACAAAAUCCAUCAAAACAGGAGUCAGGUGGUAACGCAGCUGGUGUGAAGAUGCUCACCACAGAUGCGUGAUCGUGCCACUGACUGACUGGAGGAACUGGGAUCAGACUGGAAGCACUGGGAGAGAAAGAAGAAAGGAAGGUGAAUCACACUGAUUUUCUGGUUUCAUUUCCAGCCAGUUUAGACAUUAGACUGGAAUGAUUUCGUCCCACAGCUGAAGAGAACAGAGAUGAAAGAGAAGUCUGAACCGGGUCCGUCCUCACCUGCCUCUUGUGGUCGAGUCUGUCUCCGGUCAGAGAGAAAGGAGAGAGAGGGACGAGCUGAAGGACGGAGAAAAGAAACGAUGGAUGAGAGUCAACGGGACAGAAGUGGUCAUGAAAAACCAGCUGUCAGCUGCUGCUAACAUCUGGGGUUGAUGGACACGCUGCUGCGUCUGUAUCGAGCCGAGACCACGGGACUGAAGACCGUCAUCCCAUCGCUGACAGAGACAGACGGUAACCAUACGGUUGAUCAUCUUCACCGUAUCGUGGUGUACAGAUAUGGAACAUUCAAAUCAAGGAACACGUUAUCAAGAGCUCCUUAUCUUUCCAAAAUUUAAAAAAAAAAAGGUAUUUGUUGUCACAUUUAAUUCAUGAUCUAAUUAUUUCUUGACAUCUUUUUUUCUGUGUUGUGUCUCAUAUAUUUCUGUUUUUACUGGAUUGUUGUUUACUGAUUGGUCAGUUUUUUCUGUUUAUUUUAUGUGUUUCUCAUUAUCUGGAUUUUAUGCAGUUAUAUAUGUGUGAAAAUAAAAUAAAUACAUUAAAAUAAACUG